GACUAGCUCAGUUGGAUAGAGCGUGGUGCCGAUAAUUCCAAGGCUGCAGGUUCAAUCCCUGUAUGGGACA